rnacentral:rRNA from 1 species
UACGUAGGGUGCAAGCGUUGUCCGGAAUUAUUGGGCGUAAAGACCUCGUAGGCGGCUAGUCGCGUCGGCUGUGAAAACCUGGGGCUCAACCCCGGGCCUGCAGACGAUACGGGCUAGCUAGAAUUCGGUAGGGGAGACUGGAAUUCCUGGUGUAGCGGUGAAAUGCGCAGAUAUCAGGAGGAACACCGGUGGCGAAGGCGGGGCUCUGGGCCGAUAUUGACGAGGAGGAGCGAAAGCGUGGGGAGCGAACAGG